GAACGGUGCAAGCGUUACUCGGAAUUACUGGGCGUAAAGCGUGCGUAGGUGGUUCGUUAAGUCUGUCGUGAAAGCCCCGGGCUCAACCUGGGAAUGGCGAUGGAUACUGGCGGGCUAGAGUGCGGUAGAGGAGAGUGGAAUUCCCGGUGUAGCAGUGAAAUGCGUAGAGAUCGGGAGGAACAUCAGUUGCGAAGGCGGCUCUCUGGACCAGCACUGACACUGAGGCACGAAAGCGUGGGGAGCAAACAGGAUUAGAUACCCUGGUAGUCCACGCCCUAAACGAUGCGAACUGGACGUUGGGAGCAACUAGGCUCUCAGUGUCGAAGCUAACGCGUUAAGUUCGCCGCCUGGGGAGUACGGUCGCAAGACUG
rnacentral:rRNA from 1 species